AACUUUUGACAAUGGACCACUUGGUUCUGGCAUCGAUGAAGAACGCAGCGAAAUGCGAUAAGUAAUGUGAAUUGCAGAAUUCAGUGAAUCAUCGAAUCUUUGAACGCACAUUGCGCCCCUUGGUAUUCCGAGGGGCAUGCCUGUUCGAGCGUCAUUAUAACCACUCAAGCCUCGGCUUGGUCUUGGGGUUCGCGGUCCCGCGGCCCUUAAAAUCAGUGGCGGUGCCGUCUGGCUCUAAGCGUAGUAAUUCUCUCGCUAUAGGGUCCCGGCGGUUGCCUGCCAGAACCCCCCAUUUUUUACGGUUGACCUCGGAUCAGGUAGGGAUACCCGCUGAACUUAAGCAUAUCAAUAAGCGGAGGCU
rnacentral:misc_RNA from 1 species